rnacentral:rRNA from 1 species
AAUGAACGCUGGCGGCAGGCCUAACACAUGCAAGUCGAACGAGAGCACCGGGAGUAGUGGCGCAUGGGGGCGUAACGCGGGGGAAGCUGCCCGUAUGCACCGAAUAAAUCCCCGAAGGGGGUGCUAACACAGGAUAAUGUACUCUGACAAAAGAUUCGUCGCCCUGGGGUGGGCCGGCGUUGGAUUAGCCUGUUGGUAGGGUAAGAGCCUAUGAAGGCAACGAUAGCUAGCCGGGAUUGGAGGACGGUCAGCGACACUGGGACUAAGACACGGCCCAGACUCCUACAGGAGGCAGCCGUGGGUAAUAUUGGACAAUCGACUAAAGCCUGAUCCAGCUAUGCUGCGUGAGUGAUGAAGGUCUUAGAGUUGAAAAGCUCGUUUACCCGGGAUUAUAAUGACGGUACCGGAAGAAUAAGCACCGGCUAACUCCGUG